AAUAUAUAGAUCUUAUUUCUAUGAUCUAGAGCCUUGUAAAAGUUGGGAGAACCGGACGAUUAGAGUAAAAAUAGAAACUAUGAUCUUCCUAACUGCUAGUAUGACGUAAAUUUUGCUCGCCGCAGCGAAGCGUGACAGAGAGAGUUUCGAUGGACCCACACCUUGUAGUCCGUAGUGGCAGCUUAGGCCGCUUGAUCCAAUAUCUAACAUAAUUAGCGUCGAGCACCUAGGGUACCGGAUCUCGCGUGUAAAAUCGUGUAACAUUGGAUUUUAUAGGGAGGGUGAUGAUAUAUAAGGUACGCGCGUCAAGCUGUAUAGCAAGCAGUACACGUUCACUACCACGGUGCCGAGCUACAGAUACCUUCCUCUGCGACAGACAUCAUAAGCGUUCUUAUUUCCCACAACGAAAUGAAGAGAGUGAUCUUGGCGAUACUACUGAUCGUUUCCCUGGUGGCGUCCACGCAAGCGG